rnacentral:rRNA from 1 species
CCUACGGGUGGCAGCAGUGGGGAAUAUUGGGCAAUGGACGCAAGUCUGACCCAGCAACGCCGCGUGAAGGAAGAAGGCUUUCGGGUUGUAAACCUCUUUCAAGGGGGAAGAGCAGAAGACGGUAUCCCUUGAAUAAGCCACGUCUAACUACGUGCCAGCAGCCGCGGUAAUACGUAGGGGGCAAGCGUUGUCCGGAUUUACUGGGUGUAAAGGGCGUGCAGACGGGAAGACAAGUCAGAUGUGAAAUCCCGCGGCUCAACCGCGGAACUGCAUUUGAAACUGUAUUUCUUGAGUAUCGGAGGGGUAGGCGGAAUUCCUAGUGUAGCGGUGAAAUGCGUAGAUAUUAGGAGGAACACCAGUGGCGAAGGUGGAUUACUGGACGGCGACUGACGGUGAGGCGCGAAGGCGUGGGGAGCAAACAGGAUUAGAUACCCCAGUAGUC